ACUUGGAGUAACCCCAGAGUGCAGUCUGGACGAUGGGGCGGGGCGACACUUCGAGGCGGAGCGACACGUGUCGCCCCGCCCAUAUUUGUUUUCCCCGCCUUUGACAUUUUCCUCCGAGCCAGCAGGGGGCAGUUUGCGUUGAAACAAACAGAACGGUGGCAACUACAGCAGCAGAGUAAUAACGCUAUUCCGUUGAUUGCUUGAGGAUGACAUGAUCAGGAGGUGGUGGUGUUCUGUUCUCCUGGACAGCUUAUAUCUCUCCUGAUACUCCGCAAAUAGCUCAACCACUGAGGAGAACUUCACCAUUCACCAUGUCUUCAGGCAGAGUCCAGCAAAGCAGCUUCCACUGGAAAUCCUCAGGGAAGUUAUUUUGUCGGCGGGUGACUCUGCAUAUUUGACACUUUCUCUGGUUUGCAGAUGGUUUAGGGUUGUGCUCCGAAGUUUUUCGGAAAGCGGCACAGUUUGCCUGGCUAGAGAUUGUGGCCAACUGGAAGAAUUGUCCUCCUGUCUCCUGACCGGAACGAGUUCAGACGGAUGUACAGCAUCAGGGAAUGCUUGCAGUGCAGAGCCCUUUUCAAGGUUAACCCAACAGGGUACAGGGAAGGGACCGGCGUGGUGAUCUUCUGGGCUUUUGUUUACACAGGAUUUUGUUCCAAGGACUUUUUUUUUUUUUUUUUUUUUUUUUGCGGCAUGAAACACAUUUGUGUGUUAAGUUCAUUGAAGGGAAAUAACUGGUUUUGAUUAUUAAUUGAUGUAAUUUAAAGUUAAACUUUGCACUGUAUAAUGUUUUAAUAAAAAAGCUAUGGAAAACACGUGCAUGACAACAGGUUUCAGUCAUUUACAUCAGUCUAUCAUUCUUUAAGGUUUCUCAUAU